CCUACGGGGUGCAGCAGUGAGGAAUAUUGGUCAAUGGGCGAGAGCCUGAACCAGCCAAGUCGCGUGAGGGAGUACUGCCCUAUGGGUUGUAAACCUCUUUUGUCGGGGAGCAAAAGCCGGACGUGUCCGGCUGUGAGAGUACCCGAAGAAAAAGCAUCGGCUAACUCCGUGCCAGCAGCCGCGGUAAUACGGAGGAUGCGAGCGUUAUCCAGAUUUAUUGGGUUUAAAGGGUGCGCAGGCGGAUUUUUAAGUCAGCGGUAAAAUCGUGGGGCUCAACCCCAUCCAGCCGUUGAAACUGGGGAUCUAGAGUGUGCGAGAGGUAUGCGGAAUGCGUGGUGUAGCGGUGAAAUGCAUAGAUAUCACGCAGAACCCCGAUUGCGAAGGCAGCAUACCGGUGCACAACUGACGCUCAGGCACGAAAGCGUGGGUAUCGAACAGGAUUAGAUACCCUGGUAGUC
rnacentral:rRNA from 1 species